rnacentral:rRNA from 1 species
CAAGUCGAACGAGGUUUGGUAGUUUGCGGUGGUGCUUGCAUCACCAAUUACCGAUCAAACCGAGUGGCGGACGGGUGAGUAACACGUGGGUAACCUGCCCUUCAGCAGGGGAUAACAUUUGGAAACAGAUGCUAAUACCGUAUAACCACGGAGACCGCAUGGUCUCCGGGUAAAAGAUGGCGCAAGCUAUCACUGAAGGAUGGACCCGCGGCGUAUUAGCCAGUUGGUGGGGUAACGGCCUACCAAAGCGAUGAUACGUAGCCGACCUGAGAGGGUAAUCGGCCACAUUGGGACUGAGACACGGCCCAAACUCCUACGGGAGGCAGCAGUAGGGAAUCUUCCACAAUGGACGCAAGUCUGAUGGAGCAACGCCGCGUGAGUGAAGAAGGCUUUCGGGUCGUAAAACUCUGUUAUUGAAGAAGAACGUGUGUGACAGUAACUGGUCAUGCAGUGACGGUAUUCAAUCAGAAAGUCACGGCUAACUACGUGCCAGCAGCCGCGGUAAUACGUAGGUGGCAAGCGUUGUCCGGAUUUAUUGGGCGUAAAGCGAGUGCAGGCGGUCUUUUAAGUCUGAUGUGAAAGCCUUCGGCUUAACCGAAGAAGGGCAUCGGAAACUGGGAGACUUGAGUGCAGAAGAGGAGAGUGGAACUCCAUGUGUAGCGGUGAAAUGCGUAGAUAUAUGGAAGAACACCAGUGGCGAAGGCGGCUCUCUGGUCUGUAACUGACGCUGAGGCUCGAAAGCGUGGGUAGCAAACAGGAUUAGAUACCCUGGUAGUCCACGCCGUAAACGAUGAAUACUAAGUGUUGGAGGGUUUCCGCCCUUCAGUGCUGCAGCUAACGCAUUAAGUAUUCCGCCUGGGGAGUACGACCGCAAGGUUGAAACUCAAAGGAAUUGACGGGGGCCCGCACAA